AGCAUCUGAAGAAGAAGAAGACGAUGAUGAAAUUCGGUAUCUUCAAAAGCUCAAAACUUCCCGAAUGUCAGCUUCUCAUAAUACAGAGCAUGGAGUCGAACCAAGGAGCCAGAAACUUAGGAGGAUUUCUGGGGUAAUGGAUAGAGACCUUGAUGGGUAUGAUGUAGGUGUUAGAGACUAUAAUAUUUCGAGUUCAGGCAAAGAGAGUAAGAAACCCAGACCAGAUAGAAUAUCCGAAGACACUGACUAUGCAGAAGAUGAAGAGUCGGUAUCUGAUGGUGAGCUAGAAACCAAGAAUAAGAAACAAUUAAAGGAGUCAUUUGAAGUCUCGGUAUCCUCUAAGGGGGAAAGGGCAAUAACUACACGCCGGCAGGCCCUUCAAAAGGGUAGAGACAUCUCCAUGAGUUCGGAUGCGAAUUUUAUUGAGUUUCCAAACGGGUUACCUCCCGCCCCUCCAAGAAGUGAGCAUUCCUUCCUGUUGAACUCAUUAAAUGACACUGGGUCCAUAGAUUUCUGAGUCCACUUCUUGCUUAUGAUAACGUGGUUGGUUUGGUCCACAGAGCAAAAGGAGAAACUUUCUGAAAUGGAACAUCAACUUAAAAGAGCUGAGGCUGCUCAAAGGCGUAGGAUUCAAAAUGAGAAGGCUGCUCGUGAGUCUGAGGUUUGUACUUUCCAUUUACUCCAUAUUCUCGUUUGUUUACUUUUAUAUGUAUUUUGUGACAAUUUUUACCUUAAAGAAUCUAUGUUUAAAUUUACUGAAGGAUGGAUUAUAUGAUGAUAUGAUUUACUGAUUAGCAUUCCUGGAAUUGACAGGCCGAAGCAAUUAGGAAAAUCCUGGGUCAAGAUUCCAGUAGAAAACGACGAGAAGAGAAAAUUAAGAAACGGAAAGAGCAGUUAGCACAGGUGACAAGAUGUACAUAGAUACCAUAUUUCAUAUGGCACAGUAGAUUUUCCUUUUGUUUACCCUAGUCAUGUAAAAUAAUGUAGGAGAGGGCUGCCAAUGCUACUGUUGCAUCAAAUGUUGUUAGAUGGGUCAUGGGUCCUUCAGGGACAACUGUGACAUUUCCCGACGAUAUUGGCCUCCCAAGUAUAUUUGAAUCCAAGCAUUCCAGGUAAUAGAGCAAUAUAGAGUGAAUGAUUCAUAUGUAUUAUACAGUGGCAUGAUCUGGCACACUAUUAUUAUCUAGAGCAUGUUUCACUCAGCUUAAAAUGUUCAUUUAUAAGUAAAUAAACUUUAGAAUAUGAUAUUUUUAUAACACGAAAUAAAAAAUAAGUUAAAUUGACAAGAAGGUAAAAAUUACUUAAAAAUAAGUAACUUUUUUUUUAUAGUGAGCUUGUUUGGCUAAGCUUAAAAGUUUACUUAUAAGUAAACAAGUAAUUUAAAAUACAUAAUUUGUUUUAUUGGCGAAAGUUAGAAACAAAAGUUACUUAUUUUAACACCGAGUAAAAUUUACUUUCAAAAAUGUAAUUUUUUUUCUUUAAUUGACGAGCAUGUUUUGGGACAAAAAGUUACUUGAAAGUAACUUUACUUUAAGUUUAGCCAAGCAUACUCUCUGUCAGUGAAACUAUCGUUAUCAUGUUCAAUGGCUCUUAAGCUUCUCGUUAUUAAAAAAGAAUACCAAUGCAGUUUCUAGCUCCGACCGGGUUUUUAUUCUUGCUACAUUCACUGAAUAUGUUCUCGAGACAAAUGAUGCUAUCUGAUUUGAUUGUUUUCGUUAGUUUUUUUAGUUAGAAUAUUUACCGCUGUGAGUACUUUUUAUUUUUUUAAUUUUUAAUUUAUUAUUAUUUUGUCUGUAAAACUGAAUUUUCUGCUCCACGUGGAUUUGGGAUACUGUACUGCAUUACAAUAUGAAGUUUCUAUCAUGGCUUCUUUUGGCAAUGCCCCUUGUAAUCAGAGCAACUUCCCUUCUAGGUGGUACAUUUAUGCCUAAAAAUGUUGGGUUUGUACUGAUCCUAGCUUUCUUCAUUUGUACAGGACAAUUUAUUAAAGGACGGCUCGCCUGUUAGAGAUGAGAAAGGUGGCUUGUUGGGGGUGCCAUGGAAAGAUUUCUCUAGAAGUGGUUUUAGUUUUGGGAGAGUGGGUACUUCCCAAGGAUCGAUCAUGGAAGCUGAUAAAUAUGGGCGAACUCGAGAAAACAAGUAUGUCUCUAGAAAAAGUUCAUUUGAUGAAGCAUCUGAAGAAGAAGAAGACGAUGAUGAAAUUCGGUAUCUUCAAAAGCUCAAAACUUCCCGAAUGUCAGCUUCUCAUAAUACAGAGCAUGGAGUCGAACCAAGGAGCCAGAAACUUAGGAGGAUUUCUGGGGUAAUGGAUAGAGACCUUGAUGGGUAUGAUGUAGGUGUUAGAGACUAUAAUAUUUCGAGUUCAGGCAAAGAGAGUAAGAAACCCAGACCAGAUAGAAUAUCCGAAGACACUGACUAUGCAGAAGAUGAAGAGUCGGUAUCUGAUGGUGAGCUAGAAACCAAGAA
rnacentral:lncRNA from 1 species